UAAGUUGCCAAGACAUUGAGGAAGAGGACCAGAAAACUGGUUACUACGGAGUCCCAACUCAGUGAGACUUUUCAAUCCACAUAAUCCUACGAUAGGAGAAAAAAAAAAUAGAAUAGAAUGUUGGAAUAACCAUUUCAAUACAUAAUAAUUGUUAAUUUGCCGAAGCACAAAAGUUCUCCCUCUAAUUUGCUUAGUUAACAUUUCAAGAACAUAAAAAGUGUAGAUCCUUAUUUGAAGUCCUUAGAAUAUUAUUCAACAUAGAAUAAGAAAAAGAAAAUUGCACUUAGAUAACUAAUUUUGUGCCUUAGAAUGUAUUUAAUAAGCACCCAAAUAAAAAGAACAUAAGAGAUGAGAUAUGAAGUUACCUUCAACUGAUUGGGUGCCAUUGAACUGAUUGUAACUUAUAUCCAACGUUUCCAAGGUUUUCAGAUUAACCUUGCUAGGGAAAGAACCAGCCAUGUCAUUGCUUCGAAGAAUCAAAGUCUUUAGUGAUACAAGACCACUCAUGUGUGGUAAGAUACUGUUGUUGAACAUAUUAGAGCUAAGAUCUAAAACUUGUAGCUUCUUCAAACUUGAUGAUCUAUCAAAACCUUCCAUUGAGAUGCCAUUGAAUUGAUUCUCACUUAUAUCCAAAGUUUCCAAGUUUUUCAAAUCAACUAACUCUGAACCAUGCAUAUUGUAAUUGUGCACAUUGAAAACAAAAAGGGCUUUGGUUAGAUGUGAAAUUAAGUGGAUAAUUUAGAAGAUUGUAAUGCCAAAAAGCAUACCUUUAAUAGGGAACAAACCAGCCAUGUUGUUUCCUCUAAGAAUCAAAGUCUUAAGCGA
rnacentral:misc_RNA from 1 species